GUGCCAGCCGCCGCGGUAAUACCGGCAGUUCGAGUGAUGGCCGAUAUUAUUGGGCCUAAAGCGUCCGUAGCUGGCCACACAAGUUCGUCGGGAAACCUACCCGCUUAACGGGUAGCCGUCCGGCGAAAACUGUGUGGCUUGGGACCGGGAGACUCGAGGGGUACGUCCGGGGUAGGAGUGAAAUCCUGUAAUCCUGGACGGACCACCGAUGGCGAAAGCACCUCGAGAGCACGGAUCCGACAGUGAGGGACGAAAGCUGGGGUCUCGAACCGGAUUAGAAACCCGGGUAGUCC
rnacentral:rRNA from 1 species